ensembl:lncRNA
CAGGAUGUCACUUUUGAUUGGAGCAGAGCUUUUUCAAACUCUGGGCAUUAAAACAGAGAAGAAGGAUCAGUGAAAUUUUUACAAGAUCUCACUGACAUCUUUUCUGAUCUUGAUAUUCAAAUUUGAUGAUGAAAGAUGGACCCAUUUCAGCUGCUCUGGUGAGAACUAAAAGCAAAUUAAAAUCACCUCCCUCCCCCAUGUACCCUCUUCUACAUCUUCCCCCUGAGAAGAACAGGGAAAUGGGGGAUAGGAACUCUGAUCAGUCCAGAACUCUUCAUCUCUACGGCUCCUUCGUGGUCCCUCUCUUCCCCUGCCCCAUUGUGGAAGUGUGGAAGUGUCCUUGCCAAACAGAUGCUCUGCGGUCUUCCCACAGACAGCUGCUCUUCAAGCACUGCUCCAACACAAGUUUGUACCACGGGGCCCUUAGGAGCAGAUUGUUCCAGCACUGGAUGCCCAUGAAGAGGAAAAAUGAAAAAAAAAAAAAAAAAAAAAAAAAAGGU